AAAAAGAAAACCAAAACCAAAUGCAUUUCAGUUUUAUAACGCACCUCUGUCUGUCUCUCUCUCUCUCUCUCUCUCUUUAUCAGUUUCAGCUUCUCUUUCUUAACAAAGUACAAAGCUAUCUUUGAUACCUCUCUCUCUUUUACGCUCGCCGGACUCCGGCAGUAUGUUUGGCGGAAAACAUUCCCCGGCAACUUCUCCGGUGACCCAUAAUCCAAGAUCCGGUCUUUCUUUAAUAAUUUCCGGUAAUAAGUCCAUUUAGAUUGCUGGAAAUCAAUUGGAGAACUUUCCUGGAAAAUCUUGGUAAUUGAGUUACGUAGCUGGGAUUAUUGAUGUUGCUGUAUCUUUAUUCGUGAUUGUAUUUCUCUAUAUUUUCGACUUCUUUUUUUCUGGUUUUGAUUCCGAACUUAAAUAAAAGAAGUUAUUAAAUUUUGCCUCAAAUUUGAGUAGGAGUUGUGAAAAUGGAGGUGUAUAGUGUUGAUUUCUUGACUUGAUGGAAAAGAUAAACAGAUGGAGAGUGAUUGUCUGCAAAGAUCGAAAUUUGUUUUCAGGGUAUUGGGAGCAUAAUCAAGAACUGUUGCAUAAGUUUAAUUGUUAAGAUUUGCUUGAUAUUACUUUGGAUGAUAGCAAAGAUUGGUUCAUAAUACAUAAAAAAGAACAGCUUGUUUAGAUUAAAGUUUGAUGGAGGGAGAAGAGGAAGUAAUGAGUCGUUCCAUAAUAAAUACGAGAGGAGGAGUAAAUGAUGGUCGGCUACGUUUAGGAUCAAGUGAUUCACUCCUUCCUGGUCUUAUUGAUGAUGUUGCAUUGAAUUGUCUAGCUUGGGCAUGUAGAUCGGAUUAUGCUUCAUUAGCAUGUAUAAACAAGAGGUUUCAUAAACUAAUUGAAAGUGGAUAUUUAUAUGGACUAAGGAAGCAACUGGGAAUUACAGAACAUUGGGUGUAUUUAGUUUGUGAUCCGAGGGGAUGGGAGGCCUUUGAUCCCGUGAGAAAGAAAUGGAUGGCUUUGCCCAAGAUACCUUGUGAUGAGUGUUUCAAUCAUGCAGAUAAGGAGUCAUUGGCUGUGGGUAGUGAACUAUUGGUUUUUGGGCGUGAGUUGUUUGAUUUUGCUAUUUGGAAGUAUAGUUUGAUUCGUCGUGGUUGGGUUAAGUGUGAAGGGAUGAAUCGUCCUCGAUGUCUUUUUGGAUCAGGUAGCCUUGGUUCUAUUGCUGUUGUUGCAGGAGGGAGUGAUAAGAAUGGGAAUGUUUUGAAUUCAGCAGAAUUAUACGACUCUUCAACAGGCAAAUGGGAAAUGCUACCGAACAUGCAUUCACCACGUAGACUGUGCUCUGGCUUUUUUAUGGAUGGCAAAUUCUACGUGAUUGGUGGAAUGUCGAGUCCCACUGUUUCAUUGACAUGUGGGGAGGAGUAUGAUUUUGAGACGAGGAAAUGGAGGAUGAUAGAGGGGAUGUACCCAAAUGUUAAUAGGGCUGCUCAGGCUCCUCCGCUUGUUGCAGUUGUUGAUAACCAGCUAUAUGCUGUUGAGUAUUUAACUAACAUGGUGAAGAAAUAUGAUAAGGUGAAGAACACCUGGGAGGUGUUGGGGAGACUACCUGUGAGGGCGGAUUCUUCAAAUGGUUGGGGCUUGGCUUUUAAGGCAUGUGGAGAGAAACUUCUAGUUGUGGGUGGGCAAAGAGGCCCAGAAGGUGAAGCUGUUGUGCUUAAUUCUUGGUGUCCAAAGUCGGGGGUGAAUAAUGGAACUUUGGAUUGGAAGGUUCUUGGUGUGAAGGAACAUGUUGGCGUGUUUGUUUACAAUUGUGCGGUUAUGGGCUGUUGAGGAUUCUUUUAGAUCAACUCAGCAGAGGGUACAGGUUACUGCAAUCUGACCUGGCCUUUUAGGUUGCUUCCUGGAAGUUUAUUCGAUUGACUAGAUUUAAUUUGUUACUGAGAUAGCACUUCUCAGUACGAGGAUUUGGGUUCCUUUUCUUUAACAUCCCUGUAUUUAAAUUUGCGUGUUUCACUUCAAGGUUCUACAUUUUAUUUGCUGUCAAAGAAGUACUGAGUAGGGUCACUCCGAUUUAUUGAAGAUUGUUGAAUUUUUUGGCCCAGAAGAACAAAAAGUCUGCUGAUAAAUGUGCUGGUGCACACAUGUAGAUGGAUCCAAGGGUGCUUUGGAAUUUGCUUCAGAGAUAACAUAUACUUUUGUUUGAGAUGUGAACAGUAUACUUCUUGUGAUUGCAUUUAUGCAGUUUUCAAUGCUUUGUAUUGUACCCACAGGCAGCAUAGAAAGAAGGGACAGUUGCUCAAAUAUUCUUUAUAGCAACUUUGGGAAUAAUUUUUUUGAUUUUUCUUUUCAAAGAUGGCUGGAAACAUUGUAAAGUAAAAGGCAAAAAGAAAAAAGUUGAAUCUUUUCAAAUUAAACUUUUUUAUUCGCUUGCGGAUUA